AACGAACGCUGGCGGCAGGCCUAACACAUGCAAGUCGAACGCCCUAGCAAUAGGGAGUGGCGCACGGGUGCGUAACGCGUGGGAAUAUGCCCUUGACUGCGGAACAACGUCGGGAAACUGACGCUAAUACCGCAUAAUGUCUUCGGACAAAAGAUUUAUCGGUAAAGGAUUAGCCCGCGUCUGAUUAGCUAGUUGGUGGGGUAACGGCGCACCAAGGUGACGAUCAGUAGGGGGGCUGAGAGGAUGAACCCCCACACUGGUACUGAGACACGGCCCAGCCGCCUACGGGAGGGAGCAAUGAGGAAUAUUGGACAAUGGGCGCAAGCCUGAUCCAGCCAUGCCGCGUGAGUGACGAAGGCCUUCGGGUUGUAAAGCUCUUUCAGAUGCGAAGAUAAUGACGGUAACAUCAGAAGAAGCCCCGGCUAAAUUCGUGCCAGCCGCCGCGGUAA
rnacentral:rRNA from 1 species